rnacentral:rRNA from 1 species
AUUGAACGCUGGCGGCAUGCUUUACACAUGCAAGUCGAACGGUAACAGGGUGCUUGCACCGCUGACGAGUGGCGAACGGGUGAGUAAUGCAUCGGAAUGUACCGUGUAAUGGGGGAUAGCUCGGCGAAAGCCGGAUUAAUACCGCAUACGCCCUGAGGGGGAAAGUGGGGGACCGAAAGGCCUCACGUUAUACGAGCAGCCGAUGUCUGAUUAGCUAGUUGGUGAGGUAAAGGCUCACCAAGGCGUCGAUCAGUAGCGGGUCUGAGAGGAUGAUCCGCCACACUGGGACUGAGACACGGCCCAGACUCCUACGGGAGGCAGCAGUGGGGAAUUUUGGACAAUGGGCGCAAGCCUGAUCCAGCCAUGCCGCGUGUCUGAAGAAGGCC